AAACGGUAGCUAAUACCGCAUAAUGUCGCAAGACCAAAGAGGGGGACCUUCGGGCCUCUUGCCAUCAGAUGUGCCCAGAUGGGAUUAGCUAGUAGGUGGGGUAACGGCUCACCUAGGCGACGAUCCCUAGCUGGUCUGAGAGGAUGACCAGCCACACUGGAACUGAGACACGGUCCAG
rnacentral:rRNA from 1 species